GGAGCCCGCGAAACUCGUCCCGAGCCAACUCUGGGCUCUGGGCUCCGUUGGUGAGUGUUCUAGGAGGGGAGACUGGCGGCCCCCGCUGGGGAAAUUGAGCCCGGCGCCGGCCCGGACGCUCCAAGAGGGAAAAGGGGGGAUCCCAGACCUCGGGUUUCCAAGGUCCCCCCUUGGGAUUCGCUCGCACCUCGGUGUCUCGACUCCUGGCGGCAGACCUCGCGGCGCUUGCUCAAGAGCCGGUACCAAAAGCACAUCGCGAAAGUUGUGAAGGGCCGGGGGUCGCCUGACGCGUGUCUUGACCUUCGCCCUUUUUCCUCUUACUCCUUUGAGAUUGAGGACCACGGCACGUUUAGCUCUGGGCGAAAGGUUCUGGCUAAAAAAUGAGCCAAGAGCCUCAGUUUCCCCUUUGUAACCUGAACAUCGGGAGCGGGUCCCUUUCCCUCUAGCUUUGGCUGAGGUCCUCUGGCCCGGGACUGCGAGAGUCUUCCUGGGACGGGGAGGAUGGGUCAGCGCAACCCAGGAAAGUCAAGUGGAAGUGGGGGAGUGAGCGCCGGAGGCCCCUGAAGAAAUACAGGACCAACCCACUCUUGAACUGACGGUGCCCACGCGCCAGAUUUGGCCCGAUCUUGGCACGCCAGGCAACUCUUUCCACCUGGGGGACAGGGGACCUUCUAAGUCUCUCGGUCUCCUAGCUCUGGACAGAAUGGAAAUGUCAGGCAUCUGAGCGCUCUGUUUGCUGCCCAGAUCCCUUGUAGACACACAUCACCCAAGCUUUCCUAACUAUGCUGUUCUGAGAUGGAUCCGCACGAGUGGGAAUAUCGCAUAGGAAUUCCUGCAGAGAGAAAUUUCAGCCCCAAAGCUGUCCUGAUUGAGUGAAACACACUACCACCACCAUCAUCACCACCUUCCCCCCGCGCCCUGCCACCAACCAUCAAAGUUUUCCCGCAGUUUCUCCGAGUUUGAGACAGUUUCUGAGCUUUUGGCGCCCCCUCUGGACACAGCUGGAAAUUGCAGCCCAUUUUAAGUCGACUGUUGUGUAGUUUACAAAAAGAUAAAAGAAUACAAAAAAAAAAAAAAUACUUGCACCAAAAGGGCAUAAAAUGUAUAAAGCACCACCGUUUGUGAUUCAAAGUGUUGC
rnacentral:lncRNA from 1 species